rnacentral:hammerhead_ribozyme from 1 species
AUCCAGCUGAUGAGUCUCGACCGGGACGAAACGCUCAUCCUGGAU